rnacentral:rRNA from 1 species
UCCCUUAUAAUCUUUUUAUUAUAAUAAAAAGAGAAAGAAAUUUAGUUUUCGCUCUUAGAGUCGUGUACAUAUCUCGUGCGAUGGUAGUAGUUGAGGUAAAAGCUUAACCAGCUUUAAGCACGUAGUCGAAACUGAAAGGUUGAUCGAUCACAGUGGACCUGAAUAAAGCCCACGAUGAAUAUCACAGCAGUGAGGAAUAUUGGUCAAUAGCCUAACGGCUGAACCAGCAACUUGGAGGAAUGUUUAGCAAUAGCUACUUGCGCCAACAAAUUGUUGGAGCAAGAUCGACUAUGUCGAAUAAAAUUCUAGGUAGAAUUAUGAUAAUGACAUUGUCUGCCUAUGUGUCUUGACCAAAUUACGUGCCAGCAGUCGCGGUAAUACGUAAAAGACUAGUGUUAUUCAUCUUUAAUAGGUUUAAAGGGUACCUAGACGGUAAUUCAAGCUUUAUAAAAAAGGAACUAUUUUACUAGAGUUACUUGUGAGGGGGUAUUAAAGUACUAACGGUGUAGAGAUGAAAUUCUGUCAUACCUCUUUUCGAAAGAAGACUAACGGCACAGGUAUAGGCGAAAGCAUCCCCUUAUGUGAUAACUGACGUUGAAGGACGAAGGCUUUGUGUCGCGAACAGGAUUAGAUACCCAAGUAGUCAAAGGAGAAAAUGAUGAAUGUCAUAGAUUAGAUAUGUAAUGAUUUAUUCUAUAAAUGAAAGUGUAAGCAUUCCACCUCAAGAGUAAUUUGGCAACAUUGGAACUGAAAUCAUUAGACCGUUUCUGAUACCAGUAGUGAAGUAUGUUGUUUAAUUAGAGAGUACUCCAAAAACCUUACCACAACUUGAAUAUUUAUAUCAAUUUUUCUAAUCUUUUAUAUUUUUUAUGCAUAUAUACAUAUAUAUAUAUAAAUGUAGAAUAAGUACAGGAAAAUAAUAUAUCUACAGGCGUUGCACGGCUGUCUACAGUUAAUGUCGUGAGACUUUGGUUAGUUCCAUUAAAUUAACGUAAGCCCUUACUUUAUUUUUUUAUAUAGAGUUGUUCCCCGCUAUAUUGGAUAUGAUAA